GCAAUCAUAAGACCAUAUGACAAUUUUUUUGGGUUGAGACUUGGCAUCCCUGAGUAUUUAUAAUGAUAUGUUUUUCCAGUAUAUGGGACCUGUAGAUGCUGAGCUGCUGUCCAAUAGCAAUGCAGCACGUGAACUAUGAGUAUGAAAUAAAGCGCGAAAUAGAGAUCUUAUUUUAAAGUGUUUACAUUUGUGUUGCACUUUUGAAAACGUCUGAAAGAUUAUUUAUCAGGACGUUUUUUCUCUCAUUACACACACACUCUCUCUCUCUCUUUUUUUUUACAAUUUCAUUUUUAGUGUGCUGUGUUAGCGCAAAAACUACUGUGCUGUGAAAAAAUAUUUGCCCCCAUCCUUGUUUCUUCUGUUUUUGUGUAUAUCUCAUACUAAAUUGUUUCAAAAAUUCAAACAAAAUCUAACAUAAAACAAAGGCAAUCUGACUAAACACAAAAUACAGUUUUUAAAUGACAAUGUUAUUUAUUGAAGCAAAAAAGUUAUCCAGUACCAACUGGGCCUGUCUGAAAAAGAAUUUGCCCCCUUAGUUACUAAAUCCCCAAAUCUAUGAAACUGCAUUCAUAAUGGAGUUCAGCUGGACUAGACACACCCAGGCCUGAUUACUGCCAGCCCUGUUCAAUCAAAUCAACACCUAAAUAGAACUUUUUCUGGUUAAAGGUCUCACUCAGUAGCACACUAUGCCAAGGUUGAAAGAAAUUCCAGAAAUGAUUGAAAUACAUCAGUCCGGGAAGGGUUAUAAAGCUAUUUCAAAGGCUCUGGAACUUUAAAAAACCACAGUGAGAGCCAUUAUCUUAAAAUGGAGAAAACUUGGCACAGCAUUGAACCUUCCCAGAAGUGGCCGACCUUCCAAACUUCCUCCAAGAGCACAGCGACAACUCUUUAAAAAAAAAUAAUUCCAAGGAACUGCAGGCAUGCAUCAAUAAAAGUCAUUGUUCAUGACUCCACUAUCAGAAAGGCACUGGCCAAAAAUACCAUCCAUGGAAGAGUGGUGUGGCAAAAGCUAUUGCUAACCCAGAAGAACAUUAAGGCUUGUCUGAAUGUUUCCAAAAACACACCUUGAUGAUCCUCAAACCUUUUGGGAGAAUGUUCUGAAAGUGGAACUGUUUGGAAGAUGGGUCCCGUUACAUCUGGUGUAAAUCAUACCUACGGUAAAGCAUGGUGGUGGUAGUGUAAUGGUGUGGGGAUGCUUUGCUGCUUCAGGGCCAGGGCGAUUUGCAAUAAUUGAGGGAAACGUGAAUUCUGCGCUCUCCCAGAAAAUCUUAAAGGAGAACAUCCGGUCAUCAGUCCGUGAGUUGAAGCUCAAGUGCAACUGGAUUAUGCAGCAAGACUAUGAUCCAAAGCAUAUGAUUAAGUCCACCUCUGAAUGGCUCAAAAUUAUAGUUCUGGAGUGGCCUAGUCAAAGUCUUGAUUUGAACCCGAUUGAGAUGCUGUGGCAGGACCUUAAACCCUCCAGUGUGGCUGAACUCUGCAAAGAAGAGUGGGCCAAAAUUCACCACAGCAUUGUCAAAGACUGAUCUCCAGUUAUUGGAAGUAUUUGGUUGCGGUUGUUGCUGCUAAAGGUUGCAAAACCAGAUAUAAAGUUUAAGGGGGCAGUUAGUUUUUCACAUGGGUGAUAUAGGUGUUGGAUAACUUUUUUUGCUUCAAAAAACAAAAACUUUAUUUUGUGUUUACUCUGGUUACCUUAAUUUUAUGUUAUAACUCAUUUGAAGAUCUAAAACCAUUUAGUAUGAGAAAAAGAAAUCAGGAAGGGGCAAAUACUUUUUCACAGCACUGUACAUUAAUUUGUAAUGCCUAAGCAUUUGCAACAUGACUUCAUACAAUGAGAGAUAAAUGUGCAAUGAAAAAUUAAAUAAAAAUAACAAUUUACCUGUUUCUUGUGACGUCACCGAAUGACUGCGCUGCCAUGUUUGUGACCAAUAUUCCAUAUUCCUUCAUUGUGCUGUGCUGUGAGAUAAAACACAAACCUUUUUCAGGAGUUAAAAGAAGCUCUUACAUUAAUACAGAUGGGAUCAUCACAGAUGUUUUUUUUAAUACUGUAACUAAAUCAGACCAGAAAACAACACAAAAUAAUUUAUAACUUCUGAGUGAGAGAUGUUUACGGUGAUGUGCCGGUGUCAUGAUAAAUUGUGUCUGCCUGUGAAACUGUGUCCCCAGGGGGUAACUGCUCAGGACACAAUGGUUUUUCCAUCAUAAUUGCUGGUGGUCAUAUAAGACUGUAAGGUGUGUAAAUAUGUAAAAUAAUUUGUAAUAUUGUGGUUCUGUAAUUCUGUAGCAGAUAGCUUGCCAAAUGGAAUCUAACUGAAAAACCCACAGAACAAGAAAUGUUUAAUUUCACGAUCUAUAGCUGUGGUAAUAUACCAUUAUGUGUAAAAAAAAAAAAAAAAAAAAAAAUAUUUAGAAGUCAUCAAAUGUGGUAUUUACAAAGUUAUAUUGACAUACAUCAUAAAAGGAUUUUGUAGGAUUUUUACUCAGGCAGUUUAUAUAAACCUUAUUCACACUAGAGCUUUCUUUGAUUUUUAAUGGGAAUGACGAGGCUGUGCAGGAUAGACUUGCAGUCUCUUCAAUGGGCUAUACUGCAGUUUAAAGUGUUUUUGGAUCAUUCCGCGGACAAAACAUUGAUAAAAUAUCUGUCCAAGAACAUUCAGUAUACAAAGAACUCCAGACAACAUGAGUUGUGGAAAAUCAGAUGUGAUCUAAGAGCUUUAUACAAGGGAUGGGCAUUCAUCAAUAAUUUGGUAUUCAAAUAUUUAAGCUCAUAAAAAACAAAUACUUGAAAAUUCUAUUAUUUAAAUGAAGGUAAUUAAUCAGAAAGAGACGCUGUAAAAUUAUUUUUUUAGUCAAAGUUUGUGUCACCAUUUAAAAAAAUCAAGCUUCUAAUUAUAUCCAAAACAAGCUUAUAUUAUGUCCUGUUUUUUUUUGUUGAAAACAUUUAAACAAGCAAUGCGUGAAAACAAAAAAGUUUUUUUUUUUUUUGAGCAUUUAAACUAAAGCAAAGCGAAGAAAAAGAAACCGCUAAUGAAGUGGACUGACGCAAUUAAUUAUACAAGACGAAUAUAAACACUCGACAAAUAAUAGUUAUGUUUAUAUUUUAUCUCAUGUCAUGUUAUUGUUGAGAAACUAGCAUAUCCACAUGCUCAAUAAACUAUACUCAUUUGUAAACACCAGUUUAAAUGAUGGAAUGUCCCUUACCUACAAUAGUCUUUCUCGGAUGCCAUGUUUGUUGUUUACAGGAGCGUCAUGGGGAUUAGGUUGUUACGGGGAUGCUACUUUCUGUCGAGCUGCACAUUUACAGGAGUAAAGAGUACACCACUUAUACAGUACAUUUAAACAGGAACCCAGCUUUCUCGCAGUAAGCCACAUUGCAAUAACCCGCUUUUUGGUGUCCAUCUAAACAUACUGACAGAACGGUUUUGCUCAUCAAAUGUGAUCAACUCGUGUCCACACUCAACAGCGCCACCCAGUGCAUUCUGUUAUAACUGUCAGUUUGGGUGUUCAGGAUUUAACAUGCAUCUCACUGUAUAUAUGGCCAGCAAAGCAAAACUUUGUGAAAUUCGAAUAGUAUUUUUACAUUUCGAAUAAUUAUUGCAGAAUGAAUACUCAAGUAUUCUACUAUUCGUGCACAUCCCUACUUUAUACAGCUAUAUACCAUUCGUGCCAUUGAAGAGAUGGUAAGUCUAUACCUCACAGCUUUGUCAUUCCCAUUAAAAAUCAUAUUAUAGUACUAUAGUACUCAUCACCUUAUUCAGCCCGCCCCUUUUCCACACUCUGCUGUUCUGUGUUUUGUCAUCUAACUUCCUGUUUGUAUUGAAGUUACUGAGAAGAGUCGAUCAAAAUAGAUUACAGAAAGUAUUUUUCACCAAGAGUUGAUGUAGUGAGUCUACAGCACCCCUUUAAUACAUGAAAAUGCUAGUGAGGUGUUUCUUUCUGUCGCUCUAAAUGUUAUUUUUUCAGACACACACGGAGGUAAAUUGGACCUGGCAGAUCACAUUUGGACAGCUAUGACACACUGCACUUUUUCAUAAUACAAGCAUUUAAUUGUUAUACGUGUAAUUCUGCUUAAUUUUUAGGUUUCAACUUAAAUUAACUUGUUAAUUUUAACUAAAUUGUUAAAAUGUGUAGUUGAUAUGAAAUUUCCAACAGUGACAGCUCAUAUUAUUACACUUGCAAGUUCAACAUUAAAGAAAAUGACAAUUGUACUUUUUAAAAUUAAUUUGUCACCCUACAUUUUUUAGAGGCUUAAAUGUGAUUGAAAUUGUUGUAAAUGGAAUAUAAAAUAAAACAUAGUCUUUCACAUGUGUAUGUGUGUAUAAAUAUAGUGUCCACCCAUCAUGCUUUAACGCUCAAAAAAAAUCUGCUUUAACCAUAACGCAAUGGGUGAAUGACACGAGAAGAUGGUCAGAGGUGUCUUACAGAGAUAUUUUUAUGACUUUGUGUUGUCUCUUGGAGUUUCAUGAGCACAGAAGAGUAUCAGUACGUCCACAGCGUGAAGGUAGGAUCUUGUGUGUUUAUGAAUGAAGUACUCUUGUUUUAAAAUCUCCCCGGUCUGCUACCAGUUGUUAUGACAUCCCCUGAACACUUUAAAGUACUCAUGAUAGCUUUUGACAACUCUAACCUGUAAAUCCAUUUUGCUAGCUAAUUACACUUUGACAUCAACACCAUAUAUCUAUAUAGAGCCGCUAGAAUGGAAGUUCCGAGACAAUUUUCAAGAUGGCUGCGCACUAGUUUCUCUGGCGCAUAAGGUGAAUAGAGACCGCUGGCAGCACGUCAUACCCGGGGGUGUGGUUUAGCAUGGGGAAAGCGAAGCCUUGUUACCAUAGUUACUCGUACAUUCCUAUGAGGAAAAAGGGGAGACAUAUCCGACAAAUUUGGCUAUUGUAACGACGAAAAAUAUGACGAAAAGCUGUUGUGUAAUUUUUUCACUCCAAACAAUGCUAAAAAACUAAAAACUGAUUUUUUUAUUGCCCGUCAACUGACAGAAAUAGAAGCCUAAAGAAGAGCACUAGUCAACCAUAUGCGGCGUACGUGCUUUAAUAUAUUUGUGAAACAUCCGAGUGAAUUCAAGACUAAAUAGAUUAUCAUAUCACAACAGCGGUUCCAGCAGAGACAUAAUGAUGAGUUAACACCAGAAAACAAGGCAAAAACUUGUCAUGAUCGAAGUGGAGCACUGCUUAUUGUUUUUCAUACUUUAAUCUAUCAAACAUUCUAAGGGGAUCUAUUUCUCGGUAAGUUCAGUUUGGCGAAGUGUUUUCAUUAUGUUUUUCGUUGUUAAAAAAGCCAAAUCUAUCAAUAUUUCUCCCCGUUUUCCUCAAAGGAAUGUAUGAGUAACUAUGGUACCAGCGCUUUGCUUUCCCCGUGAAUGAAGCCUUGUUUUUACUUUCGCUGACUGCGCACACCUCCGUAAAUUCUGGAGGCAUUUAUACUUGACAGGUUCGCCAUUGUACUAUUCUUUUAAACGUCAGGGGGCAGUCAAGUAUCCUCUAAAGCAACCGGAAGUAACAGUGAGAAGUAGUAGUUUGCCGAAAUGACGUCAGAUCAUAAAGAUGGCGCCCUGCGUGCAGUUGCUUGAUGCUGAAGAGGAAUUGUUGUGUUUGUUGUUGUGUAAAAGAUGACGUAGAAGGAGAUGGAAUGUCUGCCCGUUACAUACAACCAGACAAAGAGAUGGUGAAUACACUGCUUUUGUGAAGCAGAUGCGUGCAGUGGAUGAGGAGAUGCACUUUAGCUAUUUCCGCAUGUCUGCCCACCGGUUUGAUGACUUGGUGCAUCGCAUCAAGCCGUAUGUCGAACACAAAAUGACACAUGAGCCCUGUGAGUUUGGAAGAAAGACUGGCUGUCACACUGCGUAUACUUGUGUCUGGUAACAGCCAGAAAUGUGUUGCUGCAAGUUACAAAUUGGGAUCGACCACAGUCUCACUGAUGGUGAGUGAGGUCUGCCGGACCAUCUGGAGGGCUCUGAAAGACGAGUUUGUCUCCUCGCCAAAAGACAAUAAAUGGCUCGAGAUCAGGUGGGAUUUCUGGAAAUUGUGGAAUGUACCCAAUUGUUUGGGGUGCGUGGAUGGCAAACAUGUGGUCAUCAAAGCACCACCAAAUGCUGGGAGUGAUUGCUACAAUUAUAAAGGGACACACUCCAUUGUUCUCAUGGCCAUCUGUGAUGCCAAGUAUCGUUUCACAGUGGUGGACACUGGUUCAUACAGAUGUCAAUGUGGUGGUGGGAUUUUCAAUAGCAGUAUUUUUGGGUCCAAACUUGUACGGGGCACCCUUGAACUUCCUCAGCCUGAAAACCUGCCGGGUACCAAAAUAAAACUUCCACAUGUGUUCCUGGGAGAUGCUGCAUUCCCCCUGAACUGGGUUUGACCCUAUCCAGGUGCCAACUUGAAUGAUGCUUAAAGUGUACAUUACAGACCGUCAAGGGCAAGUAGAGUGAUUGAAAACAUUUUUGGCAUCCUUGCUGCACGCUGGAGGAUCUUGGAUGACCCAUUGAGUUCCACCCUGAAAAGACCGUGGAUGUUGUGAAGGAUUGUGUGGCCCUUCACAACAUGCUAACCCACAUCCAAGUAUAUUCCACCAAAUUUUCCAGAUGGCACCACAGCAUCAGGGGAGCAAGUGCCGGAUGAAAGGAGACAGCUUGUGUCUGGAGACAAUAACCUGGUCGAGUCAGGAAGACACUCUAUCUCGGGCAGCAAUUGUAGUGAGAACUUACUUUGUCUUUCUCACACCACAGGGCCUUGUACCUUGGCAGGAUACUGUCAUCUGAAGAGGCUGUUUACAGUAAAGAAAGGCAUAUUAUAUUGAUUUAGUGCAGUGACUGUAUCUACCUAUGUAAAACCAUUCAUUAAAAAUCUUAGUAAUUAUCAAACUUCA